rnacentral:rRNA from 1 species
UACGUAGGGGGCAAGCGUUGUCCGGAUUUAUUGGGCGUAAAGCGCUCGCAGGCGGUCCCGUGCGUCGUGCGUGAAAGACCCCGGCUCAACUGGGGAGGGUCGUGCGAAACGGGUGAACUAGAGGCCAGUAGGGGGAUGCGGAAUUCCGGGUGUAGUGGUGGAAUGCGUAGAGAUCCGGAGGAACACCAGCGGCGAAGGCGGCAUCCUGGACUGGUCCUGACACUCAGGAGCGAAAGCGUGGGGAGCGAGCCGG